CGCAACCCCUCGCAUUCAGUUGCCAUCGGGUAAUGCCGGGCACUCUGGAAGGACUGCCAUCGACAAGAUGGAGGAAGGUGGGGAUGACGUCAAGUCAUCAUGGCCCUUAUGUCCAGGGCGACACACGUGCUACAAUGGCCGGCACAACGGGAAGCGAGUUCGCGAGGACGAGCGGAUACCCUCAAAAGCCGGUCGCAGUUCGGAUUGAAGUCUGCAACUCGACUUCAUGAAGCUGGAAUCGCUAGUAAUCGUGGAUCAGCCAAGCCGCGGUGAAUACGUUCCCGGGCCUU
rnacentral:rRNA from 1 species